GCGGUGGAGCAUGUUGGUUUAAUUCGAAGCAACGACGAAGAACCUUACCAGGUCUUGACAUCCCGAUGCUAUUUCUAGAGAUAGAAGUUACUUCGGUACAUCGGUGACAGGUGGUGCAUGGUUGUCGUCAGCUCGUGUCGUGAGAUGUUGGGUUAAGUCCCGCAACGAGCGCAACCCCUAUUGUUAGUUGCCAUCAUUCAGUUGGGCACUCUAGCGAGACUGCCGGUAAUAAACCGGAGGAAGUGGGGAUGACGUCAAAUCAUCAUGCCCCUUAUGACCUGGGCUACACACGUGCUACAAUGGUUGGUACAACGAGUUGCGAGUCGGUGACGGCGAGCUAAUCUCUUAAAGCCAAUCUCAGUUCGGAUUGUAGGCUGCAACUCGCCUACAUGAAGUCGGAAUCGCUAGUAAUCGCGGAUCAGCACGCCGCGGUGAAUACGUUCCCGGGCCUU
rnacentral:rRNA from 1 species